rnacentral:rRNA from 1 species
CAGUAGCCGCGUUAAUACGGAGGGAGCUAGCGUUGUUCGGAAUUACUGGGCGUAAAGCGCGCGUAGGCGGUUACUCAAGUCAGAGGUGAAAGCCCGGGGCUCAACCCCGGAACUGCCUUUGAAACUAGGUGACUAGAAUCUUGGAGAGGUCAGUGGAAUUCCGAGUGUAGAGGUGAAAUUCGUAGAUAUUCGGAAGAACACCAGUGGCGAAGGCGACUGACUGGACAAGUAUUGACGCUGAGGUGCGAAAGCGUGGGGAGCAAACAGGAUUAGAUACCCCAGUAGUCCCUGUCUCUUAUAC